AGUUAUUAAUUGCUGAAUCUUCUUAGAAAAUGUUUUAGUCUUCGCAACCGACUAGUGCUGAUCUCUCGUAGCCAUGGCCGAUGAAUUCUCUCAAUGAGACAGGGAAAGAUCGAAAGCAAAGGGCUUAACCCGGGACUGAUAGUCCUUCUUGUGAUUGGAGGGUUGCUAGUGGCAUUUCUCGUAGGGAACUUCGUCCUUUACACAUACGCGCAGAGGAACUUGCCUCCGAGGAAGAAGAAGCCGGUUUCAAA